rnacentral:misc_RNA from 1 species
UCAUGCAUGCAUGAUCAUGGAUGUUGAAAUCAUUAUUUGCAAAUUACAGUAGGCCUAUUUGGCAUACGUAAAGGCCAUCUCUUUGUCAAGGAUGUCAUUCACCCACACACAUUUAUUCAGAUGACCGUGCGAUGUAUUGUCUGUACAUCUGUUUGGUUCGAUUAUGAUACUGACGUAUUAACCUGCUGAUAUGCAUGCAAGGUGAUCACUGCAGUAGAUCACCAGUCGCCUUGGGAAACAGUGCCUCCUUCACUGGAUUAUUCUCAUCAGAGAGUGGCGACAUGAUGGCAUCGGAGGACAGUGAUGAUGCAAAACCAUGGACUCCGAGAGAUGGCGAGACUGGAUUCCCAGGGCUCUUUCGUUCGUUUAGCAGGGAACAAGUAGAACCUUUGCAGGCAAACAUUAAAGGUAAAGUUCCUGAGUGGGUGGAUGGUAGCUUGCUUCGCAACGGGCCCGGAAAAUUUGAUGUCGGACCGGACACUUACGAACAUUGGUUCGAUGGAUUGGCAGUUUUACUGCGCUAUAAUAUCCACAAGGGCAUGGUGACCUACCAAAGUAGAUUCUUACGAAGUGAUUCUUAUAUCAAAGCCAUGGAGCAGAACCGCAUUGUUAUGUCUGAAUUCGGCACGGUGGCACAACCAGACCCUUGUCAGAGCUAUUUAGGUAGGUUCCUGUCGCGAUUUGUUCCUCGAACGUUCACCGACAACUGUAACAUCAACUGGGCACAAUAUGGAGAUGAGUUUUACGCUGUCACAGACGGAACGCUGAUGCGGAAGGUGAAUCCCAACAGUUUGGAGACUCUUCAUAAGGUGGAUAUAUCGGAUCGGAUUGCUGUACACUCCACCAGUUCUCAUCCACACACUGCUAAGGACGGUACAGUCUACGGUCUCGGAUCUCGCUUCUCUUAUCGUAGCUCAUACAACAUCAUUAAGAUACCUCCACAUGACCAAGAUGUCAAGGGAGACCCGUUGAGUAACGCCUCGAUUCUGUGUUCCAUCCCUGCAUCUGGUACCUAUCCUACCUUCUAUCACAGCUUUGCAAUGACGGACAAUUACUUCGUGUUUGUGGAGCAAUCUGCCGUCAUCAAUCUGCUUAAAGUACUCUACGCACAGCUCUUCUUCAAAAGCUACAUCAUCGGAAUGGAAUUCCAUGAUGAACGGCCCACUAGAUUUCACGUGGUUAAGCGAUACUCCGGAGAACUCCUACCGCAGAUUUACACAUCAAUCCCUUUCUUGAGUUUUCAUCACAUUAAUGCAUACGAGGAGGCGGGGCAUUUGGUGAUUGACAUGUGCAUUUACGAAGACGGCUCCAUUCUUCGUGAUAUCAAUUUAAAGGAUCUGAGAAACGGUGUUAAACCAGCACAGUUUGGGAAAGCCAAACGUUUCGUUCUCCCAGUUGGAGAGACAAUUGAGGACUAUCGUGGCGGGAGUAGACCAAACUGGCUUGAGAUCUUCAAGGCAGAUGUGACCCUGAAAGAAGAUGGAUCAGUUUACUGCGUCCCUCAAGUCAUAGCCGAUCGAAAUGUUGAGUUUCCGCGGAUGAAUUACGAGUUAUACAAUGGCAAGCCAUACAGGUUCUUCUACGCAAACGGCGGAGAACUUAAUCAAAAGCUGCUGAAAGUAGACACCAAAAGUGUGACGUCUGAAGAGUGGUUUGAAGAUGGCUGCUUUCCGUCAGAGCCAAUAUUUGUCAGGUCACCGGAUUGUAAGAGUGAAGAUGAUGGAGUUGUUCUAUCCUCGGUAGUUGAUCUCAGAAAAGGGAAACAUUCAUUUCUUCUGGUGUUGGAUGCACGGGAUUUUACGGAGGUUGCUCGGGCCGAGGUGGAGGCAGAGGUGUCUUUUGGAUACCACGGAAUGUUUCUCCACAAGUAGUCAUUACAAGAAAUGCCACCAUUUUCAUGCCUCACAAACAGUAAAUGCAUUCCAUUUAUAAAAAAACUCACCACGGUUUUCUGUUCCAUAUUUCCAAGACUUCAUCACUGGUUUCAGCUCCACCAUUCCAUUUACAAAUCGCACUUUCCUCAAGAUUGCUACUGUAUCCAGGCCAAUUGCAAGUCACUACCCCCUGUUUCUAAUUAUCUGGGUAUAAUAAACAGACAGUUUCUUCAUUAAACCAUCCUGCUCAUCAGUUUAAUCGCUGCCAUAGAGUUGUUGUGUUACCCUUUUGAGCCACGCCUCUCUUUCCAAGUGAACCUUGUCACUUCUUCACACUG